rnacentral:rRNA from 1 species
GAUGAACGCUGGCGGCGUGCCUAAUACAUGCAAGUCGAGCGAACGGACGAGAAGCUUGCUCUUCUGAUGUUAGCGGCGGACGGGUGAGUAACACGUGGAUAACCUACCUAUAAGACUGGGAUAACUUCGGGAAACCGGAGCUAAUACCGGAUAAUAUUUUGAACCGCAUGGUUCAAAAGUGAAAGACGGUUUUGCUGUCACUUAUAGAUGGAUCCGCGCUGCAUUAGCUAGUUGGUAAGGUAACGGCUUACCAAGGCAACGAUGCAUAGCCGACCUGAGAGGGUGAUCGGCCACACUGGAACUGAGACACGGUCCAGACUCCUACGGGAGGCAGCAGUAGGGAAUCUUCCGCAAUGGGCGAAAGCCUGACGGAGCAACGCCGCGUGAGUGAUGAAGGUCUUCGGAUCGUAAAACUCUGUUAUUAGGGAAGAACAAAUGUGUAAGUAACUGUGCACAUCUUGACGGUACCUAAUCAGAAAGCCACGGCUAACUACGUG